GUUUAUAUAGCUUAAAAACUUAGAGCAUAACAUUGAAGCUGUUAAGGUAAAAAUAUUUUAUAAAC
rnacentral:tRNA from 1 species